rnacentral:rRNA from 1 species
GACGAACGCUGGCGGCAUGCCUAAUACAUGCAAGUCGAGCGAACGGAUGAAGUGCUUGCACUUCUGACGUUAGCGGCGAACGGGUGAGUAACACGUAAGGAAUCUACCUAUAAGCGGGGGAUAACAUUCGGAAACGGGUGCUAAUACCGCAUAAUAUCUUCUUCCGCAUGGAAGAAGAUUGAAAGACGGCUCUGCUGUCACUUAUAGAUGACCUUGCGGCGCAUUAGUUAGUUGGUGGGGUAAUGGCCUACCAAGGCGAUGAUGCAUAGCCGGCCUGAGAGGGUGAUCGGCCACAUUGGGACUGAGACACGGCCCAAACUCCUACGGGAGGCAGCAGUAGGGAAUCUUCCGCAAUGGGCGAAAGCCUGACGGAGCAAUGCCGCGUGAGUGAAGAAGGCCUUCGGGUCGUAAAACUCUGUUAUAAGAGAAGAACAAAUUGUAGAGUAACUGCUACAGUCUUGACGGUAUCUUAUCAGAAAGCCACGGCUAACUACGUGCCAGCCGCCGCAGUAA